rnacentral:rRNA from 1 species
CCUACGGGAGGCAGCAGUGGGGAAUUUUGGACAAUGGGCGCAAGCCUGAUCCAGCCAUGCCGCGUGCGGGAAGAAGGCCUUCGGGUUGUAAACCGCUUUUGUCAGGGAAGAAACGGUUCCUACUAAUAUUAGGAACUAAUGACGGUACCUGAAGAAUAAGCACCGGCUAACUACGUGCCAGCAGCCGCGGUAAUACGUAGGGUGCAAGCGUUAAUCGGAAUUACUGGGCGUAAAGCGUGCGCAGGCGGCUUUGCAAGACAGAUGUGAAAUCCCCGGGCUCAACCUGGGAACUGCAUUUGUGACUGCAUGGCUAGAGUACGGUAGAGGGGGAUGGAAUUCCGCGUGUAGCAGUGAAAUGCGUAGAUAUGCGGAGGAACACCGAUGGCGAAGGCAAUCCCCUGGACCUGUACUGACGCUCAUGCACGAAAGCGUGGGGAGCAAACAGGAUUAGAUACCCUGGUAGUCCACGCCCUAAACGAUGUCAACUGGUUGUUGGACGGCUUGCUGUUCAGUAACGAAGCUAACGCGNGAGUGACGCGNGGAGACGGCGCGAGUGAAGUAAAGAAGUAGACGNGNGAGAGNGCGAGGACGACGACGAGGGAGGAGG